rnacentral:rRNA from 1 species
UACGUAGGGGGCAAGCGUUGUCCGGAAUCAUUGGGCGUAAAGAGCGCGUAGGCGGCCCUGUAAGUCCGCUGUGAAAGUCAAGGGCUCAACCCUUGAAUGGCGGUGGAUACUGCAGGGCUAGAGUCCGGAAGAGGCGAGUGGAAUUCCUGGUGUAGCGGUGAAAUGCGCAGAUAUCAGGAGGAACACCGAUGGCGAAGGCAGCUCGCUGGGACGGUACUGACGCUGAGGCGCGAAAGCGUGGGGAGCAAACAGG